rnacentral:rRNA from 1 species
CCAGCAGCCGCGGUAAUUCCAGCUCCAAUAGCGUAUAUUAAAGUUGUUGCAGUUAAAAAGCUCGUAGUUGGAUUUCUGAUGAAGAUGGCGGUCCGUGUAUUUGAUACAUGUGUACCGUUAUAUAAUUUUCAUCAUACUUGUAUUUUUAUAGUUUACUAUAUGAAUACAUCAUUUACUGUGAACAAAUUAGAGUGUUUAAAGCAGGCAAUUGCUUGAAUACUUCAGCAUGGAAUAAUAAGAUAGGACUUUGGUGCUAUUUUGUUGGUUGCGUACCGAAGUAAUGAUUAAUAGGGAUAGUUGGGGGUAUUCAUAUUUCAUUGUCAGAGGUGAAAUUCUUGGAUUUAUGAAAGAUGAACAACUGCGAAAGCAUUUACCAAGGAUGUUUUCA